rnacentral:lncRNA from 1 species
CGUCGCGUCGCGUCGGCGUCGGCGUCGAGUCGAGCGCCGUGACGCGCGCCAUUCUCGACGAAACAAAGAACGAGGCGCGAAAGCUGCGGCGCGCGCAUCGGGUCGCCAGCUACGGGCGCCUUCGCCAACAUGGCGUCGUCGCUCCGUCGCUCGCCCCUCGACGAAUUCCUCUCUCUACCCGUAGCCUUGGCCAAGUCUCCUCAGUACGACCAACUAUUCGCUCGCUGCGCCACGCUUCGUAGUGCCAUGAUUCCUCUCACAAACUUAUUAAGUUAAGACCAGUGCUUGCCAGUGUAGUUUAAAAGUUUGAGUGCCUUUAUAGUUGAGACGUGUCUCGUGUUCAUCGAGGUUCAUCAUGACGGACAACGAGUUCACCCUGGAGGAGGACGAGCGGCUCAUCGAAGAAAUCGCUAGGCGUCCAGAAAUCUACGAUCCCCAUCACGCUGGCUAUAAGCAACUGACGGUGAAGGAUCAGCGUUGGGCGGAUAUUGCUAAGAAACUUGAUAAAGCUGUCGAUCACUGUAAAAAGAGAUGGAAAAAUCUCAGAGAUAAUUAUUUCAAGCAAUUAAAGUCGGGGCCAAACAAAAUCAGGAGGAGAAAAAUACCCUCUUACAAAAAAUGACGUUUUUGAAUAACAUCGAACCGAGAAAGCUCGUAGUGGAAGCUCCGCCACAGAAGCGUCCCCGCCUCCGAGCCCCAACCGACGAGGGUCUCUCCGUCGAUUCCUCAAACCAACAGGAAACCCUCAUGGACACGGAGGAAGUUUUCCAACCGGUGAUCCAUCAAGUGCAAGACUUCCAACAGACCGAGCAGCAACCCAUGAGCGAAACUGCCACGACUGAGAACGACCCUCUCAAAGACGUGGACAUCGUCGAGUUGCUCUCCGGGGUCCUGAAAAGGAGGGACCAAGAAACGCCAAUUUGAUCAAUCACAUUCUGAGCCUCCAAAACCAACGCAAGAGCGAGGACGAGCUUGAACUUUUCUUCAAGUGCAUCCUAUUGACCAUGAGGAAGUUACCGCCGGCUGUUGUUUCCGAGCUGAAGGGUAAAAUAUUUGCCUUGGUUUCCGAGCAAGAAAUCAAGAUGCUGCAACCCACGGCGAGGCCUGAUUCCAGCAUGUCGAUUAAUUCUGACAUCCAACACUAGAAUCCCUGUUUUUGCGCACACUGUUAAAAACCGGGAAGCGAAAUUCGGUGCCGGAGUCUACGUAGCGUCCAAAAACUCUGAUUGACAAGAUUGAUAUUCUUAGUGUGAAGUGAAAUUAGCCCCAUAAAAGCGUACGGCACUCCGUAAAAAGAGUCGAUCCCGAAAUAGUGCAAGGCUUUUCUUAAGGAGGAAAGAUUUUGAUCCGCAUCAAUUUAAUAACUCAGGGUUUUGGGACGCUCCACAGACUUCGGCACAGAAUUUCACUUUAAAAUUUUCAACAGUAGGUACACUCGUUACCACCCGUGAUGCCGGUACGUUUCCCCUCAUAUUUAAGUACUACAUAUUCAUUUUCUGUCCAGUUUGAUUCUCCUUCGUGAUAAGAAGAACUCAGAAAUGACGUGUUGUCCUAUCGGAUCACGUGUUUUCGUGUGUACAUUUGUAGUUAUACUAACCCUCAUGACAAUUUGAUCUCAUUAAAAUUAAUCCCCACACUCUGUCCAGACACACUUGAUUCUCCUAUAUGUAUGAUUAAACACCUUAUUUCAAAUAUAGGGUUUCCAGAAGAAGAAUUUUCAUAUUUUCCUCCAAGUGGCGAACAAUCAUUCAAAAGUAAUGACUCGAAAAUUAUUGCGUUUGUAAGUACCUGUGAUAAGUGCAAAGUACGAUUUAUGACACAUCAAAUUUAUUUUUUUAAAGUCUUCUCUUUCAAAAUGUUCUAAUUUGUUUAAGUACUUUGUUUUUUGACAAUUAAAUUUUGUACAUAAAAAUAAAGAAUUCCAUUAAAUUUCUCUUUUCUGAAUAUUUUUAUGCCGUUUUUGCAAUGGUAAGUCAUUUUUGAGGCUCCUUCAGUGCCUAUAAAUAAAAUAGUAUUAUAAGUAAAACUAAAUUUUUACAAGGUUUCUAUCUAUCUUGAAUCUAUGAGGGGGAAAAGGAUGGACGAUAAAAUGUGUUUAAUGUUGAAAUGAACUUGAAGAGGCGCGUUACAUGCGGCAGGCCUUCUUCUACCCCCCCCCCCCAUCAACGAGGCCCCGGGGGGCUCUCGCAACAUCACAUUUGGAUUUUUUGGAUGACCCAAGGCCCCCCCCCUUUUUACUCCGGGCCUCUGCGUCAAUUUAGUGACCCAGCAUUUCAUCGAAGUGGACUCUGUCCCUCAACUUCGAGGUCAAUAUCUCGAAUAGGGAUGUGCCGAUUUUGGACCUUGUUAUAUCGAUUCAUAGAUUGAAAAUUUCCUGUGAUUUGAAAUGGGAAAGUUUCUUAGAAUGAGCUUUUCUAUAUUUACUCAAGUGUUUAUUUUUCACGCUUACUUUAAUUAGAUAAACGAGGGUCAUUCCAUUGUAACGGGUGUGACAACAAUUUAACUUUAAACAAGAAUUUGAACUCUUUCUCGGGGUUUAAUUAAAUAAUUAUCUGCAGUAGCAGAAAGAACUUUUUUUAUAGAUCAUUUCAGUCUAUCAGAAAUUAUUUUUACUUUGUUCCAUUCCUCAGAAAAAUUAAAAGGCAUGCGUAACGGGUGUGACCGAUUUUGGAAGUGAGUUUUUCCUCAGUGAGUGUAAAGUGGAAACUCAGCGAAUUUUAUGAAUGUAAAAAUCUGAUUAAAUUAUAUGGUGAAGCCAAGGGGUUUUGCUUCAACUGCCGAUGAUCCGUUUUCAAUUAUCUUUUUUUCUUUCCUUGGAAAAUGGGAGAGUUUGCGUAACGGGUGUGACGUAACGGGUGUGACAGAUUGUCUCUCUGAGGUCCAUCAUUUCUGAGAGAGUUUAAAAGUUAAAAAACUUACUUUUCUUCUCAUACUCUUAUUGUAGGCAAUCCUAAGCAGUAAAUCAAUCAACAGUUUGACGCAUUUUAAUGUAGAACAUGCCAAAACUACAUUUUUCUACAAGGUGGCCCAGAC